CAAAGAUCUCUUCAGGCCUCCCCCAGAGACUCCAAGGCAGCCCAGAUGACGCCAGGGCCCCUAAAGAGUGAGGGGGCCACGCCUCUGCCAGGGGUUCCAGUCGAGUAAAGCCAGAGAGGAACCCACUCUACCCAGUAACUGGCAGCAGGGGGAGGUGUUCACACCUCAGAACAUCACAGCAAAACAGACGGCACUGGGUGGCAUCCAGGGAACCUCACCUGCCCUUCUGCCUCCCCCCUGCUCACCUCCGCCGUCAAGUGCACCGGGGCUCUGCCCCACACCCUGAUCCACCGGCAGAUCAGCCCCCGUGAGGCGGGGACACCCAGAGAAGCCAAGCCCUGGGUCGCAAGAAAGAUGAAGCCUCCUGAAUCCUGAAACCAAAUGAGACUACGUAUGUCAAGAAGUAAUUUACAGGGGCGUCAUUGUGACGUCGGGUUGGAAUCCUGCUCUAUCUUUGGCUGUGGGACCUGGGAGGAGAUUCUUAACCUUUCUGUGCCUCAGUGUUCUCAUCUGUGAAAGGAGGAUGAUGGUGAGUAGCUCUAUCGCGCGGAGCACUGUGAGGAGCACUGUGAGGAUACAAAGUGUCAGACCAGCGCCUGGCACGUGGGGAGCAAACAACAUCAUCCAGUAAGAGCGUCUCCUAUUAUUAUUCUUUUAGGACAGGAGUCUGACAAGCUGCUCCCAGGCUACAAGCAGCAGGCUGACAGCGUGCAGUUCCUGCCUGCUUCCCGUAAGCUCUGGCCGCCACCGUGCGUGAGGGGGUGCCGAGCACCCCCGGGAAGGACAACGUUUUGUUACAGAGGCUUACGAUGAUGAAUACGAUUCUCAACUCUUGCCUUUUGCCAAG
rnacentral:lncRNA from 1 species